UAGUACUCCCUCCGUGCCAAA
rnacentral:miRNA from 1 species